UGCAGUCGAACGAUGAAGCCGGGUGCUUGCACCGGGUGGAUUAGUGGCGAACGGGUGAGUAUCACGUGAGUAACCUGCCCUUGACUCUGGGAUAAGCCUGGGAAACUGGGUCUAAUACCGGAUAUGACCAGUCCUCGCAUGGGGUGCUGGUGGAAAGAUUUAUCGGUCUUGGAUGGACUCGCGGCCUAUCAGUUUGUUGGUGAGGUAAUGGCUCACCAAGGCGAUGACGGGUAGCCGGCCUGAGAGGGUGACCGGCCACACUGGGACUGAGACACGGCCCAGACUCCUACGGGAGGCAGCAGUGGGGAAUAUUGCACAAUGGGCGCAAGCCUGAUGCAGCGACGCCGCGUGCGGGAUGACGGCCUUCGGGUUGUAAACCGCUUUCAGCAGGGAAGAAGCUUUUUGUGACGGUACCUGCAGAAGAAGCGCCGGCUAACUACGUGCCAGCAGCCGCGGUAAUACGUAGGGCGCGAGCGUUAUCCGGAAUUAUUGGGCGUAAAGGGCUCGCAGGCGGUUUGCCACGUCUGCUGUGAAAGCCCGGGGCUUAACUCCGGGUGUGCAGUGGGUACGGGUAGACUAGAGUGCAGUAGGGGAGACUGGAAUUCCUGGUGUAGCGGUGAAAUGCGCAGAUAUCAGGAAGAACACCGAUGGCGAAGGCAGGUCUCUGGGCUGUUACUGACGCUGAGGAGCGAAAGCAUGGGGAGCGAACAGGAUUAGAUACCCUGGUAGUCCAUGCCGUAAACGUUGGGCACUAGGUGUGGGGGACAUUCCACGUUUUCCGCGCCGUAGCUAACGCAUUAAGUGCCCCGCCUGGGGAGUACGGCCGCAAGGCUAAAACUCAAAGGAAUUGACGGGGGCCCGCACAAGCGGCGGAGCAUGCGGAUUAAUUCGAUGCAACGCGAAGAACCUUACCAAGGCUUGACAUGGACCGGAUCGCUGCAGAGAUGUAGUUUCCCUUCGGGGCUGGUUCACAGUGGUGCAUGGUGUCGUCAGCUCGUGUCGUGAGAUGUUGGGUAAGUCCCGCACGAGCGCAACCCUUGUCCUAUGUUGCAGCACGUGAU
rnacentral:rRNA from 1 species